rnacentral:piRNA from 1 species
UCCAUCUGUCUCUAGAAGUACCUGGUGCAA